GUGCCAGCAGCUGCGGUAAUACGGAGGGUGCAAGCGUUAAUCGGAAUUACUGGGCGUAAAGCGCACGCAGGCGGUCUGUCAAGUCGGAUGUGAAAUCCCCGGGCUCAACCCGGGAACUGCAUUCGAAACUGGCAGGCUUGAGUCUCGUAGAGGGGGUAAAAUUCCAGGUGUAGCGGUGAAAUGCGUAGAGAUCUGGAGGAAUACCGGUGGCGAAGGCGGCCCCCUGGACGAAGACUGACGCUCAGGUGCGAAAGCGUGGGGAGCAAACAGGAUUAGAUACCCUGGUAGUCCACGCCGUAAACGAUGUCGAUUUGGAGGUUGUGCCCUUGAGGCGUGGCUUCCGGAGCUAACGCGUUAAAUCGACCGCCUGGGGAGUACGGCCGCAAGGUUAAAACUCAAAAUGAAAUUGACGGGGCCCGCGACAAGCGGUGGAGCAUGUGGUUUAAAUUCGAUGCAACGCGAAGAACCUUACCUGGUCUUGACAUCCACAGAACUUAGCAGAGAUGCUUUGGUGCCUUCGGGAACUGUGAGACAGGU
rnacentral:rRNA from 1 species